GUCUACAAGUUUCCCCACUUUUUGUUCUCUAUUUUAAAUCCUUUCUCUCAGUUCACUUGACCCCAAUCACCCUCACAUUCCAACCCAAAGAUACUUCACAAAAAUCAUGGAGUCUAGGCUAAACCAAGGUGGAGAAGGCGGCCGGGCAGAAGCAGAUCCAGCCAGAAAAGAGGGUGAUAAAAAAGGGGCAUAUCGGUUCCAAGAGAAGAAAGGGUGUGUGUUUCCAGUGAAGAAAAAGCUUGUCAAGACAAGGAUGGCUGAAUGCAUUGCUAAUUCUUUAUCCAGUAAAAUGGGUGGAUCCUCCAAUACGACUGUAACUAACACUACUCCACCAAAGUCCUCCAAAAGCAACAAGAUCAGUACUGUGAACAUAUCCCCAGACCCUUGAUUGUUCAACACAACAUUCAUCACAUAAUUUAUAAGAGUUGGAGUUGGAAUUUGGAAGAUUCUCUUCACUUGCCAGCAAUUUCUUUUUUCUUUUAAGAAAAGAAGGGUAUAGUAAGUAAAUGAAGGAGAGGGAACAACAGCAGCUAGCAUGAUGGAAUGUAGCAUCUGCGUGUGGAAUAAGAUAAGGGAAAUUUUAUGCGCCAAAAAAGGACCACUGCACUUCACAUAUAUAUUAAUAAGCCUUCCUACGUAUGACAGCUCCGAAGAGAUUGAUGUUAAUCUUGGUCUUCGGUCAGAGAUUUAGGAGGGAUAUGCCCACUCUUUCAAUCUGCAAAUUAUUCAUUAUUGUGAUAAAUUGUGUUUCAAUUAAUUCUAUUAGUUCAGUGAUUAAUCUUUACGUUUUAUAAGCCCCGAGUUUUAAAACUGUCUCAUAUUUAAAAUAAAAAUUGAAUUCUCAAUUGUUGAAUAA